ensembl:snRNA U1 U1 spliceosomal RNA
AUUGACACCUGGCAGGGGACAUAGCAUGAUCGCCAAGGUGGUUUUCCCAGGGUGAGGCUUAUCCAUUGCACUCUGAUAUGUUGACCCCUGUGAAUUCCCCAAAUGUGGGAAACUUGACUGCAUAAUUUGUGGUGUGGAGGACUGCGUACACACUCUCCCCUA